rnacentral:snRNA from 1 species
AUCGCUUCUCGGCCUUUUGGCUGAGAUCAAAUGUAGUAUCUGUUCUUAUCAGUUUAGUGUCUUGAUAUCUCCUCUACCUGAGGACAAUAUAUUGAAUGGGUUUUUGGAGCAGGGAAAAAAAAUGUUC